rnacentral:rRNA from 1 species
GAUGAACGCUGGCGGCGUGCCUAAUACAUGCAAGUCGAGCGAACAGACGAGGAGCUUGCUCCUCUGACGUUAGCGGCGGACGGGUGAGUAACACGUGGAUAACCUACCUAUAAGACUGGGAUAACUUCGGGAAACCGGAGCUAAUACUGGAUAAUAUAUUGAACCGCAUGGUUCAAUAGUGAAAGACGGUUUUGCUGUCACUUAUAGAUGGAUCCGCGUCGCAUUAGCUAGUUGGUAAGGUAACGGCUUACCAAGGCAACGAUGCGUAGCCGACCUGAGAGGGUGAUCAGCCACACUGGAACUGAGACACGGUCCAGACUCCUACGGGAGGCAGCAGUAGGGAAUCUUCCGCAAUGGGCGAAAGCCUGACGGAGCAACGCCGCGUGAGUGAUGAAGGUCUUCGGAUCGUAAAACUCUGUUAUUAGGGAAGAACAAAUGUGUAAGUAACUAUGCACGUCUUGACGGUACCUAAUCAGAAAGCCACGGCUAACUACGUG